GGAAUAUUGCACAAUGGGGGAAACCCUGAUGCAGCAACGCCGCAUGAAGGAAGACGGUUUUCGGAUUGUAAACUUCUAUCAAUAGGGAAGAAAGAAAUGACGGUACCUAAAUAAGAAGCCCCGGCUAACUACGUGCCAGCAGCCGCGGUAAUACGUAGGGGGCAAGCGUUAUCCGGAAUUACUGGGUGUAAAGGGAGAGUAGGCGGCAAGGUAAGCGAUAUGUGAAAGCCUUAGGCUUAACCUGAGGAUUGCAUGACGAACUAUCUAGCUAGAGUACAGGAGAGGAAAGCGGAAUUCCUAGUGUAGCGGUGAAAUGCGUAGAUAUUAGGAAGAACACCAGUGGCGAAGGCGGCUUUCUGGACUGAAACUGACGCUGAGGCUCGAAAGCGUGGGGAGCGAACA
rnacentral:rRNA from 1 species